GCUCUGUUCGUCUAAGGGUUAGGACUCCUGAUUCUCAGUCAGAAGAUAACGGUUCGAAUCCGUUACAGAGUAC
rnacentral:tRNA from 1 species